rnacentral:lncRNA from 1 species
AUUACUUCUGUCAUUAGAAGCCAUGCAAGGGAAUCCUUUAGUGGAGGAUGUGGCUUGGGCAGACUUUUCAAAAGUUAACUUAUCUGAAUGAAUUAGAAAGUCAGAAAUCAGAUGUCAAUUACCUGAGCAACUUUUGCCUAUCUCCUGGGUCAUACUAAGUCUUUUUUUUUAAUUCCACUAUUUUUAGAAGCCCAUUCUGCACAUUUUAAGAAAGAAGAUAACUAGGAUAGUUGAUCCAGAAUUCACUUUAAAAAAAGUGGAAGAUAUCAUAGAGCAGCAAAAUGGACUCAGAUGCCUGACAAGAGUAUAAAGGGCAUCUUUAUUUAGGGCAUCUGGUUUAGCAGGUGCCUGAGUGUCAGCAGAAGGGCACAGUGAUUCCCCCUGAAUAGUGCAGUGUCUCUUUUCUGCAUAAUGAGAGGCUCAUGUUUCUAGGUCAGAUCAGGAGAAAACCUGACAAGAAGGGUUAUCGUUGCCACUUGUUCAGUUCCACACUCUUGUAGGUCAGCAAACAGAGCACUGGCAUGGGUCUGAAGCUGUGAUUGGUCUUGCACAAGACAUGUCCUCCAGAAGGCAUCUUCUUGCACCCAAGUCUCAGGAAAACAACCUCCAACCCAGAUUGAUGUUGCCUGCAAAACGAUCUUUCAAAAGCAAUGGAGAAAUAAGAUACUUUCAAGACAAAGAACAACUGAGGAACUUCAUGAAUAUCAAAUCAGCACUCCAGAAAAUUUUAAACAAUAUCCUAGGAAAAGAAAAUGACACAGCCUCAUGAAGCCCAGCAG